CCUACGGGAGGCAGCAGUAGGGAAUCUUCCACAAUGGACGCAAGUCUGAUGGAGCAACGCCGCGUGAGUGAAGAAGGUUUUCGGAUCGUAAAGCUCUGUUGUUGGUGAAGAAGGACAUGGGUAGUAACUGAUCUAUGUUUGACGGUAAUCAACCAGAAAGUCACGGCUAACUACGUGCCAGCAGCCGCGGUAAUACGUAGGUGGCAAGCGUUGUCCGGAUUUAUUGGGCGUAAAGCGAACGCAGGCGGGAGAACAAGUCAGCUGUGAAAGCCCUCGGCUUAACCGAGGAACGGCAACUGAAACUGUUUUUCUUGAGUGCAGAAGAGGAGAGUGGAACUCCAUGUGUAGCGGUGAAAUGCGUAGAUAUAUGGAAGAACACCAGUGGCGAAGGCGGCUCUCUGGUCUGUAACUGACGCUGAGGUUCGAAAGCAUGGGUAGCGAACAGGAUUAGAUACCCUGGUAGUCCAUGCCGUAAACGAUGAGUGCUAAGUGUUGGGAGGUUUCCGCCUCUCAGUGCUGCAGCUAACGCAAUAAGCACUCCCCCGGGGGAAGAAGGACCAAACGU
rnacentral:rRNA from 1 species